rnacentral:tRNA from 1 species
GAGGGUAUAGCUCAGUGGUAGAGUGAGUGCCUAGCAUACACAAGGUCUUGGGUUCAAUCCCCAGCACCUCCA